GGGGCAGCAGGCUGGUCCUAGCAUUCGGCCGCAGUUUCCUCAGGGAGAAGCAGCCAGCCACACAGCCCACUCACACCUCCGGAACCUGAGCAGAAGGGCACUCUCAGCAAAAGCUAAGUACUUGCAUAUAUUUUACUGACCCCCACCCGCAACCCAGCUUCAGCAGCUGAAUCCCUAGGCCUGAGACAGACCCUGAUGAGCACCUGGAGCUGUCCUCCCAGCCUUGGGGAAGGAAAAAAUUUGCAACUGGGGGGAAAAGAUACUUUGCCAGCUCCAUUAACUGGGGGAGCUCAGGACAGAAGCGGCUUCUGUCUAGGCAUAAACCAUCCAUGGACCUUGAGCACUUUUGCCUUCUGCAUGGACCUGUGUGGGCCUAUUUCGGGAGAAUAGGCCCCCGUUGGCAAACUCCAGCCAUUUCAGCAGUGUGGUGGAGAGGUGGGUAUUUGACAUUUGACAUUGCUUUGCCUAUUAAACAAGGUCCUCACCUACCCACAACAGGGACCUAAGGACUGGUGGCUCCACUUGGGUUGCCCAGCCACCCACGGCAGGGGCCCAGGGAUAAUUGGUACCUCCCAGUCCUUACAACAAAAUCUUUGGGUGCCCACGGUCCCUCUGCAGAGCCCACCCACCAGCACACUCUAGGGAACAGAGAUGCGUUUACCUCAGAGACACCUGGGGGUCGGUUCUCAGCCCCCUGCCUUGUUCAGAGCAUCACCCCCUGCUGCAAUCAGAUACAGGUAUAUAUGCCAGUCACCCCGCCCCUCUAAGACUGUAGGACAGAGCCUGUACCACACACUUGAUAUCAGCUACCUGGAAACCUGAGCUGAAUUCAUACAAGAAAACUGAAUGGGCUCCUAGACUGAUAUACCUGACAACAGCUCUAGCCAGCUGGUGACAGGACACCAUAGCUCCAAAGGUGAAAAUAAUGAAGCUAGCUCACUCAAGCAACCCAUAGGGGUAUACCAAAACAAAGCAAAGCAAGCAGCUACGACACAGUAAGCAAGCAUAAACUAAUACAAUAACUUAUAGAUGGCUCAGAGAAACUCAAUAUCACAUCACAUAAAGGAACAGGCCAUGAUCACCUCAACAGGCUCUCAAAACAAAGAAUCCAGGGAUAUUUUAGAUGAAAGUGUAUUCCUGGAAUUACCAGAAGCAGAAUACAAAAGUUUAAUAUACAGAACCCUUCAAAACAUCAGGAAGGAAAUGAGGCAAUACGCAGAACAAGCCAAGGAACACACAGAUAAAGCAACUGAAGAAAUCAGAAAGAUUAUUCAGGAACAUAGUAAAAAGUUUAAUAAGCUGGAAAAAUCCAUAGACAAACAGCAAUCAGAAAUUCAGAAGAUUAACAAUAAAAUUACAGAAUUAGAUAACUCGGUAGAAAGUCAGAGGAGCAGAAUUGAGCAAGUAGGAGCUAGAAUUUCUGAACUCAAAGAUAAAUCACUUGGCACUAGUAUAUUUGAAGAAAAAUCAGAUAAAAGAAUUUUAAAAAAUGAAGAAACCUUAAGAAUCAUGUGGGACUCUAUCAAGAGAAAUAACCUACGAGUCAUUGGAGUACCAGAACAGGGAGGGAUGACAGAAAAUACGGAGAAAAUCGUUGAGCGUUUGUUGGCAGAAAACUUCCCUGAUAUUGUGAAAGAUGAGAAGAUAAUCUAUCCAAGAUGCUCAUCGAACUCCACAUAAGGUAGAUCUUAAAAGAAAGUCACCAAGACAUAUUAUAAUCAAGCUUGCCAAAACCAAAGAUAAGGAGACACUUAUAAGAACAGCAAGGGAUAAAAGAAGAGUCACCUACAAAGGAGCACCAAUAAGAAUAAGCUCAGACUACUCGGCAGAAACCAUGCAGGCAAGAAGGCAAUGCGAUGACAUAUUUAAAAAAUUGAAGGAAAAAAAUUGCCUGCCAAGAGUCAUAUAUCCAUCAAAACUGUCUCUUAAAUAUGAAGGUGAAAUUAAGACAUUUCCAGAUAAACACAAAUUGAGGGAAUUCAUAAAAACCAAACCAAAACUACAAGAAAUACUAAAGGAAUGUCUUUGGUUAGAAAACCUAAAUAUCAGGUAUCGACCCAAGACUAGAACACUGGGCAGAGCAACCAGAAGUCAACCCAGACAGGGAAAUGCCAAAAAAAAAACAAAGCAAGAUUUAAAAAAAAAAAAAAGCCCAACCCAGGGUAACGGCGAUGUUAUUAUAUAAAAGAAGACAACAUUAAAAUAAUAAAGAGGGACUAAGAAAUGUAAUCAUACGCCUUCCAUAUGGAGAAGAUACGGUGAUACAAAGAAAUAAAAGUUAGUUAUAAAUUUAGAAAAAUAAGGGCAAAUAAUAAGGUAACCACAAAGGAGACAAACUAUCCUACUCAUCAAAAUAAAAUACAUGGGAAAAAUACAGACUCAGCAGAAACAAAAUCAACAACAACAACUAUGAGGAAAGGACAAUAUAUAAAGAAAAUCUACUCAGCGCAUAAAAUCAAGUGGGAAAAAGAAGCUGUCAAGGCACAAAAAAGACAUCAAAAUGAUAGCACUAAAUUCAUACCUAUCCAUAAUUACCCUGAAUGUAAAUGGACUAAAUGCACCAAUAAAGAUAGAGAGUGGCAGAAUGGAUUAAAAAACAAGAUCCCUCUAUAUGCUGCCUACAAGAGACACACCUUAGACUUAGAGACAUAAACAAACUAAAACUCAAAGGAUUGAAAAAAUAUAUCAAGCAAACAACAAUCAAAAAAGACCAGGAGUGGCAAUAUUAAUUUCUGACAAAAUAGACUUUAAAGUUAAAUCCAUCAGAAAGGAUAAGGAAGGACACUAUAUAAUGAUUAAAGGGACAAUACACCAAGAAGAUAUAACUGUAUUAAAUAUUUAUGCACCCAAUGACAGGGCUGCAAGAUAUAUAAAACAAAGAAAACAUUUCAAGAUCUAUCCUGCAGUACAGUGCUGUCAGUGAUAGGAUAAUAUCCAUACGUAAGACCAGUUUGUACGAGUAUUAUUCAAAUUUACGCACCAACCACUAGGUCCAAAGACGAAGAAAUAGAAGAUUUUUAUCAGCUGCUGCAGUCUGAAAUUGAUCGAACAUGCAAUCAAGAUGCAUUGAUAAUUACUGAUGAUUGGAUUGUGAAAGUUGGAAGCAAAGAAGAAGAACUGAUAGUUGGAAAAUAUGGCCUUGGUGAUGGAAACAGUGCCAGAGAUGAAAUGAUAGAAUUUUGCAAGACCAACAACUUCUUCAUUGCAAAUACCUUCUUUUACCAACAUACACGGCGACUAUACACAUGGACCUCUCCAGAUGGAACACACAGAAAUCAAAAUGACUACAUCUGUGGAAAGAGACGAUGGAAAAGCUCAACAUCAUCAGUCAGAACACGGCCAGGGGCCAACUGUGGAACAGACCAUCAAUUGCUCAUAUGCAAGUUCAAGCUGAAACUGAAGAAAAUCAGAGCAAGUCCACGAGAGCCAAAAUAUCACCUUGAGUAUAUCCCACCUGAAUUUAGAGACCAUCUGAAGAAUAGAUUUGACUCAUUGAACACUAGUGACUGAAGACCAGAUAAGUUGUGGAAUGACCUCAAGGACAUCGUACAUGAAGAAAGCAAGAGGUCACUGAAAAGACAGGAAAGAAAGAAAAGACCAAGAUGGAUGUCAGAGGAGACUCUGAAACUUGCUCUCAAACGUCGAGCAGCUAAAGCAAAAGGAAAAAUUGAUGAAGUAAAAGAACUGAACAGAAGAUUUCAAAGGGCGUCUCGAGAAGACAAAGUAAAAUAUUAUAAUGACAUAUUCAGAGAGCUGGAGAUGGAAAACCAAAACGGAAAAACACGUUCAGUGUUUCUCAAGCUGAGGGAACUGAAGAAAAAAAUUCAAGCCUUGAAUUGGCAGUAGUGAAGGAUUCUAUGGGGAAAAUAUUAAACGACGCAGGAAGCAUCAAAAGAAGAUGGAAGGAAUACACAAAGUCAUUAUACCAAAAAGGAUUAGUCGAUGUUCAACCAUUUCAAGAGGUGGCAUAUGAUCAGAAACCGAUGGUACUGAAGGAAGAAGUCCAAGCUGCUCUGAAGGCAUUGGCGAAAAAACAAGGCUCCAGGAAUUGAUGGAAUAUCAAUUGAGAUGUUUCAACAACCAGAUCAGUGCCGGAGGUGCUCACUUGUCUAUGCCAAGAAAUAUGGAAGACAUUUUCCUGGCCAACUGACUGGAAGGGAUCCAUAUUUAUGCCUAUUCCCAAGAAAGGUGAUCCAACUCAAUGUGGAAAUUAUGAAACAAUAUCAUUAAUAUCACACGCAACCAAAAUUUUGCUGAAGAUCAUUCAAAAAUGGCUGCAGUAGUAUAUUGACAGGGAAAUUCCAGAAAUUCAGGCCCGUUUCAGAAGAGGACGUGGAACCAGGGAUAUCAUUGCUGAUGUCAGAUGGAUCCUGGCUGAAAGCAGAGAAUACCAGAAGGAUGUUUGCCUGUCUUUUAUUGACUAUGCAAAGGCAUUCGACUGUGUGGAUCAUAACGAACUAUGGAUAACAUUGCAAAGAAUGGGAAUUCCAGAACACUUAAUUGUGCUCAUGAGGAACCUUUACAUAGAUCAAAAGGCAGUUGUUCGAACAGAACAAGGGGAUACUGAUUGGUUUAAAGUCAGGAAAGGUGUGCAUCAGAGUUGUAUUUUUUCACCAUACCUAGUCAAUCUGUAUGCUGAGCAAAUAAUACGAGAAGCUAGACUCUAUGAAGAAGAACGGGGCAUCAGGAUUGGAGGAAGACUCAUUAACAACCUGCGUUUUGCAGAUGACACAACUUUGCUUGCUGAAAGUGAAGAGGACUUGAAGCACUUACUAAUGAAGAUCAAAGACUACAGCCUUCAGUAUGGAUUGCACCUCAACAUAAAGAAAUCAAAAACCCUCACAGCUGGACCGGUGAGCAACAUCUUGAUAAAUGGAGAAAAGAUUGAAGUUGUCAAGGAUUUGAUUUUACUUGGAUCCACAAUCAACAGCCAUGGAAGCAGCAGUCAAGAAAUCAAAAGACACAUUGCAUUGGGUAAAUCUGCUGCAAAGGACCUCUUCAGAGUGUUGAAGAGCAAAGAUGUCACCCUGAAGACUGAGGUGCGCCUGACCCAAGCCACGGUAUUUUCAAUCUCAUCAUAUGCGUGUGAAAGCUGGAUAAUGAAUAAGGAAGACCGAAGAGGAGUUGAUGCCUUUGAAUUGUGGUGUUGGCGAAGGAUAUUGAAUAUACCACGGACUGCCAAAAGAAUGAACAAAUCUGUCUUGGAAGAAGUGUGGCCAGAAUGCUCCUUAGAGGCAAGGAUGGCGAGGCUGCAUCUUACAUACUUUUGACAUGUUGUCAGGAGGGAUGAGUCUCUGGAGAAGGACAUCAUGCCUGGCAGCGUACAGGGUCAGUGUAAAAGAGGAACACCCUCAACAAGGUGGAUUGACACUGGCUGCAACAAUGAGCUCAAGCAUAACAGUGAUCAUAAAAAUGGCUCAGGACUGGGCAGUGUUUUGUUUUGUUGUGCAUAGGGUCACUAUGAGUCGGAACCAACUUGAUGGCACCUAACAACAACAACAAAUGUAUAUCGAUUUUUCAACCUUUUGAUUUAGAACUAAGACCUUUUCUUUGAGUUUGAGCAACAGAUGAAAAUUCCUUUGUUAUUUUGCUUGCACAGGUUCUUCUGGUUUUAAACCAAACUCAGUUGCCUUUGAAGUCACAUCCUCACUCAGGCUAAAAAGGAAGUCCAAGUUCCCAGUGUCUCUAAUUAGUUAACUUCUGCCUCCACCUUUCUGGAAUUUUCAGAAAAUGUCCAUUAUUUUACAGUAAUAUUUAAUAAAAUUUAGUAAUUGUAAUAUCAAGUACAACACACAUAAGUUAGUUUGAAAAUGCGGAAGACUUACAGCAAAUAUUGAUGUCACCUGCUAGAAGCAGGAAUGUGCAAGCCUGCUUGAGAUUGGUCUACAGCUUCAAAUACACAGCUUUCCACGAGCAUGUAUCUUUAAGUUCUACAAAGGAGGGUAGGGAACAUUAAUUAAUCUGGCUAAUCGGUUAAGUAGAGGUGGGUUAAGAUUGUUUUUUACUACAUUGCAUUUGAGGGAAAAGACUAGUAUAUAAUUCUAGGAAAUUAGAUUCUGGAAUAUUGUUUCCAACCCAAGAUGAGAAUAAAUUCAGGCAUAAUUAUAGACUACCCUCGAGAUGUGAGUCCAGUGUGUUGCUACAAAAUUCUGGAAAGGUAUCCUAAAAAUACAUAGGAAAUACAGCCUCAUAACCAAACCAAAUAAAUAUCACUGGAUUUCUGUAUGUAAUUCUAAUUAGGUGCACUUCAUGAAUCACAUGGAAAUGGUUCAAAGAAAGAGAAAUAAUAAAGAGGAUGUAGAAUGCUUAAAAAUAGGACAUGUUGGACUAUGAAAAAGGGUUGGAAGAUUUAUGAUUAAAGUCUAUCAGGUCAUGAGUCCACAAUUUUAGGACAUUUCAAUGGAGAGGACAUCAUAUUGAAAUCUAGCAGGGAGAUUAGAAUUUAUAAAGAUAGCUGAAUAAUUAUUAUUUAGUUGGCAGUAUAAGGCAAUGAAAUGUUUCACAUAGGUGAAUUUUCCAACUAAAUGACAUGAUUAGAUUUUUUAACAUGAUGAAAUUUUUUAACAUUUAUAACUUUUUAUUAAGUUUUCCAAGAAAAUAUAUAUUUCCCUGUCUUCUGAAGCCAGUUACACUGUGUAGAAUGAAGACCAAUUUCACAGUGAUGGAAUAAUUAGACAUUCAGAGUCUGCUAAUGGUAAUUAGGCUGUCACCCUAACCCUGGACUUUCAUGCACAUUUCUGGUUUCUUUUUCCUUCCUCAUGAUUGGAAUAUUAUCUGUCACUUUUCACUGUUGCCAGUGUGAAUGAAGAGCAGAUCUUCCUGUCGAUUCUAGUCUCCUAUUUUUUUUCUUAUAAUCUCCUCUGUGUUAGAAAAACAGACAAAAGUUGUUAAAAUUAUAUGUAAAACGUAAAGUCUAUACUGGCACCAUCCAGUAUCAUAGCUAGUAGCCACAUGUGACCGUUAAGCCCUUGAAACACGGCAGGUGUGCCUGAGGAACUGGGGUUUUUCUCUUUUAAUUUACUUAAAAUUUUACAAAACUUCAUUCUCUGACAUUCACUUCUAUAUUGGAAAACUUUGGAAGAACUUGGGUGUGCACAUCUACUGUUUCAGUUGUAGAUUUUAUGAAAUCUAAAUACAGAUCAAGUAUUCCUAAUGAAAGGUAACGUCUGAAUUGGUAAGUGCUAUAAGUGUAAAAAAACAAUGGGUUUGGUUUGGGUUUUAUAAGUGUAAAAUACAUAUCAGAUUUUGAAGAACAAACAAAGGAAUGUAAAAUAUCUAAAUAAUUUCAUAUUGAAUAUAUGAUUAAAUAAUUGUUUCUGGCUAUUAAUAAUUUUACCUGUUGCUUUUUGCCUUUCUUACCUGGCUACUAGAAAUUUUCAAAUUACUCGCAACUCCAUUAUAUUUCUAUUAGACAGCACUGCUUUAGACUAUACUAUAGGUUUAUAGGUACUAUAGAUUCUGAGAAAAUUUUCAUAUAGAUUUUAUUGCAUGCCCUUUAUGACAACUAUUUCAAAUGCUGAAAAAGAUUUUUCUUACUCCUGGGUUUGCAGCUUAAGUAACAAAGCUGGAGGAUUCCAGAGAAUUGAAGUUGCCUGAAGUAGCCUCUGGCUAUAUGAGGUUGCACUGUACUAUUCAGAAAAACAGGUAGUAAACUUAUAGAAUUUAUUUUCUCACAAAGUGUUAGAAGUUAAAUUCGAUACAAAGCUAUAAAGAAAACUAUACUAUUUAACUGCUUGAAGAAUAUUUGGAAUGUUUCAUGUAUCUAAAAAUAUGUUGUAUGUAAGAGAUAAGAGUUUUAAAAAAAUGUUUCAUGAGAAAGUCAGUAUGAAAUGUUAGUUAGCAAAUCUACGUGUUUCCAAAGAAGCAGGGCUGAUAAAGGUUAUCAUUGUAUAGUAACUGGUUUUUGAAAGCAGCCAAGAAUUUCACAGAGAGGUUGAAGGGACAUCUGAAUAGACAAAAUGAAAAGAACCAAAGAUUUCCAGAAAUCAUGGCUCGUAUUUGGGGCCUCAGAUAAAAAAAAAUACUCAAAAAACAAGGAAAUAAAAUGACUGGACAGUGAAAAAUUUAUGAAUGAAUUCAGUUCCAUUCAGGCUAAAGAAACAAUAUUAUUGCUCUAUUUGGCAUAAACAGUGAUGAAAUAACCAUUAUUUAUGGUCCCCUGGGGAAAUAAAAUUAGCUGGAAAUUUACUUAAAUGACAAGGAGUCUGUAACUCUGAAAUAAAUUUUAUAAAAUUUAUUGUUUUUGUUAGGUGCCAUCAAGUCAGCUCCAACCCGUAGAAACCACAUGUACAACAGAACAAAACGUUGCCUGGUCCUGCGCUGUCUUCAUUCACAAUCUUUGUAAUGCUCGAGCCCAUUGUUGCAACCACCAUGUCAAUCUGUCCCUUUGAGGGUCUUCCUCUUCUUCCCUGAACCUCUCCUUUACCAAGCGUGAUGUCUCUCUUCAGCGAGUCAUCCCUCCUGAUAAUACGUCCAAAGUACGUGAGAUGAAGCCUUGGCCAUCCUUGCUUCUUAGGAGCGUUCUGGCUAUACUUCCAAGACAGAUUUUUUCAUUCUUCUAGCAGACCAUCAUAUAUCCAAUAUUCCUCAUCAACACCAUAAUUCCAAGGUAUCAAUUAGGUCUUCCUUAUUCAUUGUCCAACUUUUGCAUGCAUAUGAGGCAAUUGAAAAUACCACGGCUUGGGCCAGGCACACCUUAGUCCUCAGAGUGACGUUUUUGCCUUUGAGUACUUUAAAAAGGUCAUUUGCAGUAGAUUUCCCUGAUGCAGUGCAUCGAUUGAGUUCUUUACUGCUGCCUCUAUGGGUGUUGAUUGUGGAUUCAAGUAAAAUGAAAUCCUCGACAACUUCAAUCUUUUCUCCAUUUAUCGUAAUAUUGCUUAUUGGCCCAAUUGUGAGGAUUUUUGUUUUCUUUAUGUUGAGGUAUAUUCCAUAGUGAGGCUGUGGUCUUUGAUCUUCAUCAGCAACUGCUUUAAGUCCUCUUCAUUUUCAGCAAGCACGGUUGUGCCACCUGUAUAUCACAGGCUGUUAAUGAGCCUUCCUCCAAUCCUGAUGCUCCGUUCUUCUUCAUAUAGUCCAACUUCUCAGGUUAUUUACCCAGCGUACAGACUAAAUAAGUAUGGUGAAAGGAUACAGCCCUGACACGCACCUUCAGUGCAGCUUGAACUUAUUCCUUCAGUACAACCAGUUCUUGAUGAUAUGCUACCUCCUGAAGUGGCUGAAUGUCGACCAGUUCCGUAUGUUCCCAAUAGAAUCCUUCAGUGCUGCAACUCAAGGCUUGAAUUUUUUCUUCAAUUCUUUGAGCUUGAGAAACGGCUAGCACGUUCUUCCCUUUUGGUUUUCUAACUCCAGGCCUUUACACAUUUCAUUAUAAUACUUUGUCUUCUCCAGCUGCCCUUCAAAAUCUUUUCAGCUCUUUUACUUCAUCAUUUCUUCCAUUUGCCUUAGCUACUGUAUGUUUAAGAGCAAGUUUCUGAUUCUCUUCUCACAUCCAUUUUGGUCUUUUAUUUCGUAUCUUUUUUUUUUUUUUUGUGCUUUAAGUGAAAGUUUACAAAUCAAGUCACUCUUCCAUAUAAAAAUUUAUAUACACCUUACUCCUAGUUACCCUCCCCCUAAUGAAACAGCACGCUCCUUCUCUCCACCCUGUAUUCGCUAUGUCCAUUCAGCCAGCUUCUGACCCCUCUGCCUUCUCAUCUACCCUCCAGACAGGACCUGCCCACAUAGUCUCACGUGUCUGCUUGAACCAAGAAGCUCACUCCUCACCAGUACCGUUUUCUAUCUUAUAGUCCAUCCAAUCCCUGUCUGAAGAGUUGGCUUUGGGAAUAGUUCCAAAGUAGGCCUACCAUUGCUUCUUCUGUUUUUAAAAAUUUUUAUUGUGCUUUAAGUGAAAGUUUACAAAUUGAGUCAGUGUCUUAUACAAAAAUUUAUAUAUGCCUUGCUGUAUACUCCUAAUUGCUCUCCCCCUAAUGAAACACCACAUUCCUUCCUUCCACUCUAUAUUUUUGUGUCCAUUUGGCCAGCUUCUGACCCCCUCUGUCCUCUCAUCUCCCAUCCGAACAGGAGAUGCCAACAUAGUCUCCUGUGACUGCUUGAUCUAAGAAGAUUACUCUUCACCAGUAUCAUUAUCUAUCCCAUACUCCAGUCCAAUCCCUGUCUGAAGAGUUGGCUUUGGGAAUGGUUUCUGUCUUGAGCUAACAGAAUGUCGGGGACCUUGACCCCCCGGGUCCUUCUAGUCUCAGUGAGACUGUUAAGUCUGGUCUUUUUAUGAAAAUUCAGGGUCUGCAUCCCACUGCACUCCUGCUCCCUCAGAGGUUCUCUGUUGUGCUCCCUGUCAGGGCAGUCAUCGGUUGUAGCCAGGCACCAUCUAUUUCUUCUGGUCUCAGGCUGAUGUAGUCUCUGGUUUAUGUGGUCCUUUCUGUCUCUUGGGCUCUUAAUUACCUGUGUCUUUGGUGUUCUUCAUUCUCCUUUACUCCAGAUGGGUUGACACCCAUUGGUGCAUCUUAGAUGACCGCUUGCUAGCAGUUAAGACCCCAGAUGCCGCUCUCCAAAGUGGGAUACAGAAUGUUUUCUUAGUUAUGCCAAUUGACUUAGAUAUCCCCUGAAACCGUGGUCCCCAAACCCCCGCCCCUGCAAUGCUGGCCUUCGAAGCAUUCAGUUUAUUCAGGAAACUGCUUUUGGUUUAGUCCAGUUGUGCUGACCUCCCCUGUAUUGUGUGUUGUCUUUCCCAUCACCUAAACUAGUUCUUACCUACUAUCUAAUUAGUGAAUACCCCUCUCCCACCUCCCUUCCCCAUCUGGUAACCAUCAAAGAAUAUUUUAUUCUCUGUUUAAACUACUUCUCCGGUUCUUAUAAUAGUGGUCUUAUACAAUAUUUUCCUUUUGCAACUGACUAAUUUCACUCAGCAUAAUGCCUUCCAGAUUCCUCCAUGGUAUGAAAUGUGUCACAGAUUCAUCACUGUUCUUUAUCGAUGCGUAGUAUUCCAUUGUGUGAAUAUACCAUAAUUUAUUUAUCCAUUCAUCCAUUGAUGUGCACCUUGGUUGCUUCCAUCUUUUUGCUAUUGUAAACAGUGCUGCAAUGAACAUGGGUGUGCAUAUAUCUGUUCUUGUAAAGGCUCUUAUUUCUGUAAGAUACAUUCCAACCAGUGGGAAUGCUGGAUCGUAUGGUAGUUCUAUUUCUAGCUUUCCAAGGAAGUACCAAAUCGAUUUCCAAAGUGGUUGUACCAUUUUACAUUCCCACCAGCAGUGUACAAGUGUUCCAAUCUCUCCACAGCCUCUCCAGUAUUUAUUAUUUUCUGUUUUUUUGGAUUAAUGCCAGCCUUGUUGGAGUGAGAUGAAAUCUCAUUGUGGUUUUGAUUUGCAUUUCUCUAAUGGCUAAGGAUCAUGAGCAUUUCCUCAUGUAUCUGUUAGCUACAUGAAUGUGUUCUUUAGUGAAGUGUCUGUUCAUAUCUUUUGCCCAUUUUUUAAUUGGGUUAUUUGUCUUUUUGUAGUUGAGUUGUUGUAGUAUUAUUUAAAUUUUAGAGAUCAGGUGCUGAUCGGAAAUGUCAUAGCUAAAAACUUUUUUCCAGUCUGUAGGUAAUCUUUUUACUCUUUUGGUGAAGUCUUUGGAUGCGCAUAGGUGUUUGAUUUAUAGGAGCUCCCAGUUAUCUAGUUUUUCUUCUGCAUUGUUAGUAAUGUUUUAUAUACUAGUUAUGCCAUGAAUUAGGGCUCCUAGCAUUUUCCCUAUUUUUUCUUCCAUGAUCUUUAUCGUUUUAGAUUUGAUAUUUAGGUCUUUCAUCCAUUUUGAGUUAGAUUUUGUACAUGGUGUGAGGUAUGGAUCUUGUUUCAUUUUUUUGCAGAUGGAUAUCCAGUUAUGUCAGCACCAUUUGUUAAAUGGACUAUCUUUUUCCCAUUCAACUGACUCUUGGGCCUUUGUCAAAUAUCAGCUGCUCAUAUAUGGAGAAAUUUUUUUUUUUUUCAUAUAUGGAUGCAUUUAUGUCUGGAAUCUCAGUUCUGUUCCAUUGGUCUAUGUGUCUGUUGUUGUACCAGUACCAAGCUGUUUUGACUACUGUGGCGGUAUAAUAGGUUGAAAAAUCAGGUAGAGUGAGACCUCCCACUUUGUUCUUUUUCAGUAAUGCUUUACUUAUCCAGGGCCUCUUUCUCUUCCGUAUGAAGUUCGUGAUUUGUUUCUCCAUCUCAUCAAAAAAUGUCAUUGGAAUCUGAAUAAGAAUUGCAUUGUAUCUAUAGAUCGCUUUUGGUAGAAUACACAUUUUUACAAUGUUAAGUCUUCCUGUCCAUGAGCAAGGUAUAUUUUUCCACUUAUGUAGGUCUCUUUUGGUUUCUUGCUGUAGUGUCUUGUAGUUUUCUUUGUAUAGGUCUUUUACAUAUCUGGUAAGGUAUAUUCCUAAGUAUUUUAUCUUCUUGGAAAAAAAAAAAAAAACAGUGCCAUCGAGUCCAUUCCAACUCAUAGCGACCCUACAGGACAGAGUAGAACUGCCCCAUAUAUCUUCUUGAGGUCUACUAUAAAUGGUAUUGAUUUGGUGAUUUUCUCCUCGAUGUUCUUUUUGUUGAUGUAGAGGAAUCCAACAGAUUUUUUAUGUUUAUCCUGUAUCCCGAUACUCUGCUGAACUCUUCUAUUACUUUCAUUAGUUUUCCUGAGGAUUCCUUAGGGUUUUCUGUGUAUAAGAUCAUGUCAUCUGCAAAGAGAGAUACUUUUACUUCUUCCUUACCAAUCUGGAUGCCCUAUAUUUCCUUAUCUAGCCUAAUUGCUCUGGCUAGGACCUCCACCACAAUGUUGAAUAACAGAGGUGAUAAAGGGCUUCAUUGUCUGGUUACCGAUAUCAAGGGGAAUGCUUUCAAAAUCUCUUAGGAUGAUGUUGGCUUUUGCCUUUGUAUAAAUGUCCUUUAUUAUGUUGAGGAAUUUUCCUUCUAUUCCUAUUUCGCUGAGAGUGUUUAUCAUGAAUGGGUGUUGAACUUUGUCAAAUGCCUUUUCUGCAUCAAUUGGUAAGAUCAUGUGGUUCUUUUCUUUUGCUUUAUUUGUAUGAUGGAUUAUAUUAAUUGUUUUUCUAAUGUUGAACCAUCCCUGCAUGCCUGAUAUGAAUCGCACGUAGUCAUGGUGAAUUAUUCUUUUGAUAUUUUGUUGAAUUCUGUUGGCUAAAAUAUUGUUGAGGAUUUUUGCAUCUAAGUUGGUAAGGGAUAUAGGUCUGUAAUUUUCUUUUUUUGUGUUGCCUUUACCUGGUGUUGGUAUCAGGGAUAUGCUGGCCUCAUAGAAUGAGUUUGGGAGUAUUCCGUCCUUCUCUAUGCUCUGAAAUACCUUAAGUAGUAGUAGUGUUAGUAGUAGUGUUAACUCUUCUCUGAAAGUAAUGAUGCCGUCCAAGCCAGGUCUUUUUUUUCUUGAGAGGUUUUUGGUUACCUCUUCAAUCUCUGUUUUGGGUGUAUUUAGUUGUUCUAUCUCUGUUUGUGUUAGUUUAGGUAGAUGGUACGUUUCUAGGAAUUCAUCCAUUUCUUCUAGGUUUUCAAAUUUGUUAGAGCACAGGUUUUCAUACCAAUCUAAUACGAUUCCUUUAAUUUCAUUUGGGUCUGUUGUAUUAUUGCCCAUCUCAUUUCUUAUUUGGGUUAUUUGCUUCCUGUCCUGUUUUUCUUUUGUCAUUUUGGCCAAUGGUUUAUCAAUUUUGUUAAUUUUUUCAAAGAACCAACUUUUAGUCUUGUUAGCUCUUUCAAUUGUUUUUCUGUUUUCUAUUUCAUUUAAUUCUGCUCUAAUUUUUAUUAUUUGCUUUCUUCUGGUGUGUGAGAGUUUCUUUUGUUGCUCUCUUUCUAUUUGUUCAAAUUGUAGGGAUAAUUCUUUGAUUUGGGCCCUUUCUUGUUCUUGGAUAUAUGCGAUUAUUGGUAUAAAUUAAACUUUGAGCAGUGCUUUAGCUGUGUCCCAAAGGUUCUGUUUUCAUUCUCAUUGGAGUCAGUGAAUUUUUUUAUUCCAUCCUUAAUGUCAUCUGUAGCCCAGUCUUUUUUGAGCAGGGUAUUGUUCACUGUCCAAGUGUUUAAUUUCUUUUCCCUACUUUUUCUGUUACUGAUUUCUACUUUUGUGGACUUUUGGUCAGAGAAGAUGCUUUGUAAUAUUUCAAUGUUGUGGAUUCUGUUAAGUCUUGUUUUAUGACCUAAUAUGUGGUCUGUUCUAGAGAAUGUUCCAUGUGCACUAGAAAAGAAAGUAUACUUGGCUGCUGUUGGGUGGAUUAUUGUGUAUGUGUCUAUGAGGUCAAGUUGGUUGAUUGUGGCAUUUAGAUCUUCCGUUUCUUUAUUGAGGUUCUUUCUGGAUGUUUUGUCCUUCACCGAACGUGAUGUGUUGAAGUCGCCUAUUAUAUGUGUGGAGCUGUCUACCUCACUUUUCAAUGCUGUUAGAAUUUGUUUUAUAUAUCUUACAGCUCUGUCAUUAGGUGUAUAAAUAUUUAAGAUGGUUAUAUCCUCCCCAUAUGUUGUUGUUGUUGUUAGGUGCUGUUGAGUCAGUUCGACUCAUAGUGAUCCUAUGCACAACAGAACGAAACACUUCCUGGUCCUGAGCCAUCCUUACAACCGUUGUUAUGCGUGAGCUCAGUGUUGCACCCACUGUGUCAGUCUACCUCAUUGAGGGCCUUCCUCUUUUCCGCUGACCCUGUACUCUACCAAGCAUGAUGUCCUCUUCCGGGACUGAUCCCUCCUGACAACAAGUCCAAAGUAUGUAAGACACAGUCUCACCAUCCUUGCCUCUGAGGAGCAUUCUGGCUGCACUUCUUCUACAACAGACUUGUUCAUUCUUUUAAGAUUCCAUGGUAUAUUCAAUAUAUGUCACCACCACCACACUUCAAAGGCGUCAGUUCUCCUUCUGUCUUCCUUAUUCAUUGUCCAGUUUUUACAUACACCUCCUGGUAUAUUAUCCCUUUAAUCAUUAUAUAAUGUCCUUCCUUGUCCUUUGUCGUGGAUUUAACUUUAAAGUCUGUUUUGUCAGAAAUUAAUACGGCCACUCCUGCUGUUUUUUGAUUUGUUGUUUGCUUGAUAUAUUUUUUUCCAUCCUUUGAGUUUUUGUUUGUUUGUGUCUCUAAUUGUAAGGUGUGUCUCUUGUACGCAGCAUAUAGACGAAUCGUGUUUUUUUUUUUUUUCCAUUCUGCCAUUGUCUAUCUGUGUAUUGGUACAUUUAGUCUAUUUACAUCCAGCAUAAUUAUAGGCAAGUAUGAGUUUAGUGCUGUCAUUUUGAUAUCUUUUUGUGUGUGUUGUUGACAGUUUCUUUUUCUCACUUAAUUUUUUGUGCUUAGUAGUUUAUAUAUUGUCUUUUCCUCUUAUUCAUUGUUGUUGAUUUUGUUUCUGCUGGGUCUCUAUUUUUAUUUUAUUUUUAUUUUGAUGAGUAGGAUAGUCAGUCUCCUUUGUGGUUACCUUAAUAUUUACCCCCUAUUUUUCUAAGUUUAAACCUAACUUUUAUUUCUUUAUAUCGCCUUGCCCUCCUCUUCCUAUGAAAGAUAUAUGACUACAUUUUUUAGUCCUUUUUUUUGUUCUAAUGUUGUCUUCUUUUACAUAAUAACAUCGUUGUUUCCCUUUUCUGAGCAUUUUUUUUUAAUCUUGAUUUAUUUUUGUGAUGUCCCUGUUUGGGUUGACAUCUGAUUGCUCUGCCCAGUGUUCUAGUCUUGGGUUGAUACCUGAUAUUAUUGAUAUUCUAACCAAAGAACUCCUAUUAGUAUUUCUUAUAGUUUUGGUUUGGUUUUUAUGAAUUUCCUAAACUUCUCUUUAUCUGGAAAUGUCCUAAUUUCACUUUCAUAUUUGAGAGACAGUUUUGCUGGAUAUGUGAUUCUUUGCUGGCAAUUUUUUUCCUUCAUUGCCUUAUGUAAGUCAUCUCAUUGCCUUAUGGUUUCUGCAGAGUAAUCCAAGCUUAUUCUUAUUGACGCUCUUUUGUAGGUGACUUUUCGUUUAUCCCUAGCUGCUCUUAAAAUUCUCUUAUUUUUGGUUUUGGCAAGUUUGAUUAUAAUAUGUCUUGGUGACUUUCUUUUAGAAUCUACCUUAUGUGGACUUCGAUGAGCAUCUUGCAUACAUAUCUUCUCAUCUUUCCCAAUAUCAGAGAAGUUUUCUGCCAACAAAUCUUCAGCAAUUCUCCCUGUAGUUUCUGUUGUCCCUCCCUGUUUUAGUUCUCCAAUCACUCGUAUGUUAUUUCUCUUGAUAGAGUCCCACAUGAUUCUUAAGUUCUCUUCAUUUUUUUUAAUUAUUUUAUCUGAUUUUUUCUUCAAAUAUAUUGGUGCCAAGAGUUUUAUUUUCAAGCUCACCAAUUCUGCCUUCCCCUUGCUCAAUUCUGCUCCUCUGACUUUCUGUUAAGUUGUCUAAUUCUGUAAUUUUAUUGUUAAUUUUCUGAAUUUCUGAUGGCUGUCUCUCUAUGGGUUCAUGCAGCUUAUUAAAUUUUUCAUUAUGUUCUUGAAUAACCUUUUUAAUUUCUUGAGCUGCUUUCUCUGUGUUCCUUGGCUUGUUCUGUGUAUUGCCUGAUCUCCUUCCUAAUUUCGUUCCUGAUGUCUUGAUGAGUUCUGUGUAUUAAUCUUUUGAAUUCUGCAUCUGGUAAUUCCAGGAAGUCACCUUCGUCCAGAAGAUCCAUUGAUUCUUUGUUUUGAGAGCUUGUUUAGGCAAUCAUGGUCUGUUUCUUUGUGUAACUUGUUAUGACUGUUGCCUCCAAGCCAUUUAUAAGUUAUUGUAUUAGUUUAUUUUAUGAUUGCUUACUGUGUCCUAGCUUCUUGCUUUCGUUUUGUUUUGAUAUGCCCAAAUGGAUUGCUUGAGUGAGCUAGCUUGAUUAUUUUCAUCUUGCAGCUCUGAUGUCCUGUCACCAGAUAGCUAGAGCUGUUAUCAGGUAUAUCAGUCUAGGAGUCCAUUCACUUUUCUUGUAUGUGUCUGCUUUUCCAGGUAGCUGAUCAUAAAACGUGUGGUACAGGCUCUGUCCUACAAUCUUAGAGGGGCAGGGGUGAUCGGUGUAGGUACCGGUAUCUGGUUGCAGCAGGGGGUCACGCUCUGGUCAAGGCAGGGAGCUGAGAACUGUCACCUGAAUGUGGGGAAAGCACGUCCCUGUUCGCUAGCACAUGCAGGUGGGUGUGUUCUGUAGACAGACCAUGAGCAUCCAGUGCUUUUGUUUGUAAGGACUGGGAGGUAACAUCCUUGGACCCUAUCAUGGGUGGCUGGGUGAUCUGAGUGUAGCCAUCUGGCCUUAUGCCUCUGAUGUGGGUUCGUGAGGACCCUAUUUAAUAGGCAAAGCGGAGUCAAAUAUCCAACCCCCGCCUCUGCACCGCACAGCUAUAUCAGUUGCAGUGUGCCAACAAGGGACUAUUUUCCUGAAAUAGGCCCACACUAGGCCAUGCAGGAGGGAAAGGUAUUCAAAAUCUACAGAUUGUUUUUUGCCCAGACAGGAGCCACUUCUGUCCUGACCUCCCGCAGUUAGUGGAGCUGGCAAAUUAUUUUCCCCCCAAUUGUGAACUUAUUCCUACUCCAAGGUCAGGAGGAUGGCUCCGGGCACUCAAGAUGGCCUAUCUCAGGCCCAGGGAAAUGAACAGCCUCCGAAGCCAGCUCGGGGAUGAGGGCGCAGUAAAAUAUAUGCAAGUUCUUAGCAUUUACCAAGAGUGCCGUUCUCUGGUUCUGGAGCUGUGAGUAGGCUGUGUGGCUGGCUGCUUCUCCCUGAGGGAACUGCGGUGGAACACUACCACCAGCCCGCCGCAGCCACUCCCAGGAAUGGUGCCUGAGGGAUCCCAGCAAUUCCGGUCUGGUAACUCCUCUCCCCUCCUGAACCGCCUCUCCCUCCCGCUGCUGCUCAGUCCAUUUUCUGACUUUGCCUUUCAUGUUCAGGCUCCUAGCUUGUCAUAAAUAUAAUCAUUUCACUUGUUUUUUUAGGUCUUCAUUGUAAGAGGGAUCACAGGAAGUGUCUGGGUAUUCUGCCAUCUUGACCCCGCCUCCUCUUUCCCAUCUUUUUAAUGACCUUUUGCUUUGUUCAUGUAUGAUGUCCUUAAUGUCAUUCCACAGCUCAACUGAUCUUGGAUCAUUUGUGUUCAAUGUGUCAAAUCUUUUCUUGAGAUGACCUAUAAAUUCAGGUAGGAUAUACUCAAGGUCAUAUUCUAGCUCUUGUAGUCUCGCUCUAAGUUUCUUCAGCUUCAACUUGAACUUGCAUACAACCAAUUGAUGGUUUGUUCCUCAGUCGUCCCUUGCCUUGUUCUGUCUGAUGAUACUGAGCUUUUCCAUCAUCUGUUUCCACAGAUGUUGUUAAUUUGAAUCUGUGUAUUCCGUCUGGUGAGGUCCACGUGUAUAGUCACCAUUUAUGUUGCUGAAAAAAAGUCAUUUGUUAUGAAGAAGUCAUCGGUCCUGUAAAAUUCUGUCAUGCAAUCUACAGCACCACUUCUAUCACCAAGACCAUAUUUUCCAACUACCAAUCCUUCUUUUCUGUUUCCAGCUUUCACAUUGCAGUCACUAGUAAUCAUCAACGCAUCUUGAUUGCAUGUUUGAUCAAUUUCAGACUGCAGAAGUUGGUAAAAAUCUUCAGUCUCUUUAUCUUUGGCAUUAGUGGUUGGUGUGUAAUUUGAAUAAUAAUCAUAUUAACUCAUCUUCCUCAUAGGCGUAUGGAUGUUAUCCUAUCACCUACAGUGUUGUACUUAAGGAUAGAUCUUGAAACAUUAUUUUUGAUGAUAAAUGCAAUGCUAUUCCUCUUCAAUUUGUCAUUCCCGGAAUUGUAAACCAUGUGGUUGUCCAAUUCAAAAUGGCCAAUACCAGUCCGUUUCAGCUCACUUAGUUAUAUUAACUGGUCUUCCUUGUAGGCGUGUGGAUAUUAUCCUAUCACUGACAAUGUUACACUGCAAGAUAGAUCUUGAAAUGUUCUUUUGGAGGAUAAACACAACCCCAUUCCUCUUCAAUUUAUCAUACCCGUCAUAGUAAACCACAUGAUUUUCUUAUUCAGAAUGGCCAGUACCAGUCCAUUUCAGCUCACUAAUGCCUAGGAUAUCGAUCUUUAUUCAAUCCAUUUCAUUUUUGAUGAUUUCCAAUUUUUCUGGAGCCCUGGUGGCACAGUGGUGUAGAGCUCUGCUAACUAAAAGGUCAGCAGUUCAAAUCCACCAGCCACUUCUUGGAAACCCUAUGGGGCAGUUCUGCUCUGUCCUAUAGGGUCGCUAUGAGUUGGAGUCAAGUCAGUGGCAACGGGUUUGGUUUUUGUUUGUUUGUUUGUUUUUUCAGUUUUCCUAGAUUCAUACUUCAUACAUUCCAUAUUAUAGUUUCUAAUGGAUGUUCGCAACUGUUGCUUCUCAUUUUGAGUCAUGCCACCUCAGCAAAUGAAGGUCCUGAAAGCUUUAUUUCAUCCACAUCAUUAAGGUCAUCACUACUUUGAGGGGACAGCUCUUCCCCAGUCAUGCUUUGAGUGCCUUCCAACCCGAGGGGCUCAUCCUCCAGCACUCUGUCAGACAUUGUUCUGCAGCUAUUCAUAAGGUUCCCACUGGACAGAAGUGGGCCACCAGGUCCUUCUUCCUAGUCUGUCUUAGUCUGGAAGCUUCUCUAAAGCCUGUCCACCAUGGGAGACCCUGCCGGUAUUUGAAAUACCGGUGGCAUAGCUUCCAGCAUCACAGCAACACAUGCAAACCACCACAGUACUGUAAAAACAAUUGUAACAGAAACACCUGAGGACUGGGAUUCUCUGAUGUGAACUGUAAAUUACUGUCAGGAGAAAUCAGCAGACAAUAGUCAUGUAGAUAAUUGCACUUAAAUGUUCCGCUGUUCAUCUGUGGUCACAGUAUGAAAGAUGAAGUAAAAGGGGGCUCCUUAGGCUAUUGCAAUAGUCCAGUUUACAACUGUCAAAGAAAAGUAGGAAAUAGAAUCAAGCGCUAAUGUGGAAUAGACUUUGUAGAGCCUGGUAACCAUUUGAAUUAGAGAAAUGAGAGGAAAAGGAAGAAUCAGUGGUUGCUCCUUUUUUCAGACUACCUGACUAGGAAUAAUGAUAGUAUUGAUUGAUCAAAAAGAAAAGGAAAUUCUUUUGUGGAUUAAUUAUGUAUGAAAUAUAUGUUAAGUUAUUCAGUCUUUACAGUAGCCUACAAAACGAGUUGCAUUAUCCCCAUUUUAACGAGCUCUGUCAUCACAGUGGUUAAAUACUUAGCUGCUAACCGACUAGCCACUGUGUAGGAAGAUGGAUGUGGCAGUCUGCUUCCAUCAAGAUUUACAGCCUUGGAAUCCCUAUGGGGCAGUUCUACUCUUGUCUUAUAGGGUUGCUAUGAGUCAGAAUCAACCUGACAGCGUGGGUUUGGGUUUGGUUUUUGUUAUCCCCAAUUUAAAGAUGAGAAAAUUAAAAUGCAGUCAUUAGAACCUUUUGAUUCUAAGUUCAUCCAAUUCUAGAGCCGUGCUCUUUCCCCAUGCUAGCCUGCCUCUUUAAAGGAGAAUUCAAAGGAGGGCUGGGCUGAGAGGGAAAGACCUUGACUCUGAAUUUGGAAAUACUGAGUUUGAUGAACUGGUAGGACAUCCUUGUAUAGAUAGAUAGACGAGUGUACCAAGCAACUCUCUAGAGAUCAAGAAUGUAGCCAGGAUUAAGAAAUAUCCUGACAGAGUUAAGCCAUGGUAAUUUAUGACCUUAAAGGAGGAAAAUGUAGAGUGGAGGGCUAAGACCAGAGUCUUGGAGAACAGUUUCAUUUAAGUGGUCAAGGUGAGGUUGAGCAAAGGAAUGCAAUUGAGAAGAAGCAGAGAAGAAAAGAGCCCAGAGAGUGCAGGGUAAUGGAAUCUUGGAAAGAAAAGAGUAACUAAGAGAGAGUGUUUAAUAUCAAACUCUUAAAAGGUGAAGUAGGACAGCGACUAAGUAAAAAAAAAAAAAGAACAUCUUAAAUUUUGUAAGUCAUUAGAAACAUUUACAGAAGCAGCUUCCAAAGAGUGGUAGGGGCCUGUGCCAUAGAGCAAAAGUCUGAACAGGAGUGAGUAGGAAGUGCAAAAUUGGUGUCAAUGGAGAAAAUACUAUCUUUUGAGAUGUUAAGGAAGGAAAUUAAUUUAAGGUUAGCUUAAGGAAGACAUAAUCAGUCUACACAAAGUACACCCCGUGCAUAAGUCACAAGGUACCAUUACUCUCCAGCUACCUUAGUCUGCCUCGGGUACAAGAAAAGGGUAUAUUUGAGAUUGUUAUUAUUCAAGUGAAGGUUAAGGCAUGUGAAUAGGCUGUCACAUGCGAAGGUGAAAUUCUAUUGGGUUAAUUAAGGCAAUCAAAUCUGUCUUAGAAGAAAUAUUACCAGAAUGCUCCUUAUCAGCGAGGAUGGUGAAACUUUGGCUUGCUUACUUUGGAUACUUCAUCAGGAAAGACCAAUAUUUAUAACAGGACAUCAUGUUUGGUAAAGUAGAGGGCCAGUGAAAACGAGGGAACCCUCAAUGAUAUGAAUUGACCCAGUAGCCAUAAUGAUGGCCCCAAACAUAACAAGGAUCAUGAAGAUUGCACAACACAUGAUACAGUAUGUCAAUUAAAAAAAAAAAAACAGGACAGGGAAAAACUACCUUUACAUUAAUUAUUUGAAUAAUUAUUGCACUUCUAAGGUCCUUCUAUUAGUAAACCUAAGUAAAUAAAAUCUUAAAUUUUUAUUGACCUGACAGUUGUUUUUAGGUCAGAAAAGCAUAUUUUAAGGGCAGGUUUUUCUUUAUCUUACCUAAAUCUUUCCCCAGUAAAUUUUAUUUCACUUAUUUCUUUUUCCACAGUAAGUAAUGAGAAUUAUUUUAAUGAGAAUUACUUUAAUACCCAAAACAUAAAUGUAACAAUUUGAAUAGCAAAUGCAAAAGUAAUAAGGAAAUGCAUAAAGUCUUAUGAAAAUGUCCAAAAAUAUAAAUUGACUCAAUGUUGCUUUUAUGUUUUGUGGUAUAGUCAUGUUUUACUAACAUCCAGGUCUAGAAACUAUGUUGGUAAGUGUGCCUCUUCUUUCUCCCAAGGACAAGUGAAUAGCAAUUAUCUUGUAUGAGCUGUUCUCUGUCAGAUAAUAAUAAACAAUACCAGCAGCAAUGAAAGUAAUAGUUAAUCCAUUUAGUCUUUACCUUGAAUGAGGGCACAUCUACUUAUUUGAGAUAAGUGCCAGGGGUUAGUAUAAUUUUUUAAAACAAUAGAUAAAUAACAAGUCUAUUUAAUAGUAUAAAAUUCUCCUUAGGUGGUCCUUUCAUGUUGCAUUGCUUCCAUACUGUAGGAAGGACUUUACUAUUAAUGUAGUAGUUUUAUCAUAAUUUAAUCAUGCUCUAUGGGCAUAUUAGAAUUAUUAUUAAAUUAAUAUAAAACCAUUCAGUAGAAUUUAUUCUUCUUGUUUUUGGGAUAGUAUUCUUGUUCCACAGUUUAAACUAUCAUGAUCCUGAAAACAAAACUAAGUUAAAUUGCCCUUACACAGUUUUCUUCAUUUUCGAAAAUAUGGAUCAGUAUAAAUUUGAGUAGUCAAUUUGGCAAUACCCUUUUAGCCAUUUAGAAUUUGUAUCUAGGGAAUAUGACCCCUCCUGCUUCUUUCACAAGUAUGUACAACCCCUUUAUCUUCCUGUUUCUCUAACAAAGCACGCUUAUUUCUGCCAGGAACUUUACUCUCCCUCUGUGUGGAAUGUCCUUUCCGCAUUCUUUGGGUAGCUUUUAAUCAUUCCAAUCUCAGCCCAAAUGUCAUCUCCUGAAAGAGGACUACCCUGAUUAAGUCUAUAAAAGUAACUCUUUCCUAGCAGUCUCUGAAUCCUAUUUCAUGUUAUUGUAUUCAUAGAACUUGCCGUUAUCUCAGAUUUUAUUUAUUUAUUUAUUUAAAUGCUUGUUUAUCCUUUCUAUCCCAUUAGAAUGUAAGUUCAGUGACAGCAAAUACAUUGUCUGUCUUUAAUCUAUAUAUCUCCAACACCAGAACAGUAUUGUCAUCAAAUUGUAGGCACUUAGUAAAUUUCUAUCAUGAAUCAGCAUCAUGUACAGUCAUUGUAGAAAGUAUUUUAGUAGACCACAAAGACCUUUGGCCUAAGAAAAUACCGGAGUACAAAAGAUUUUUGUCCCUUAAGAUGGAAAUAUUACUAUAGAAUUGAACGUACAGCACUAUAAUAUUUAAAGUACACUAGAACCUGCGGUAACCCUCUCCUUGAAUCGAAGUGAAUUGUUUGGGUAAGACCCUGACAUAAAAAGAUUUUUCUGUCACUAAACUUACUUGUAUAGACUCAUUGUUUUAAAUUUUAUACCAUAUCGGAAUAAGUGGAUAUUAUAAUAAGCUUAAAAAAAAAUUCUUGUUAGAGUGAACUAGCCCUAUUUUUUGUUUUAUUAGUUUGUAACUAUUUGACAGUAAGACUGUGUGAAGAUUAUACCAACCAUAAUUAAAUGUCUUAUAAUAAAAGAAAAAUAAGUUUUGAAUUUUCUACAGAAAUUUAUAAUCAGUAUUUUAAGGGUAACAUCUAUCACUCCUAUUUUUAAAUUGCCUGCUAGAUGAUAAAUUUUGGUGAAUUUUCAGUACUUAGCUUAAUUAAUCCCUCUGAAGUAUUUAAGAGCCAUACGGUACUACAACUGGAAAUGACUCAGGUAUCAUCUAGUAUACCUUGCUCAUUUAACAGAUAAGGAAACAUUGUCACUUAGUCACUUAAUCAGGGUGACAGAGCUAAAAAUGAAACAGGAUUUCUUCUGGUGUGUUUCCUACUGUGCCCAAAAAGGUAAUGGUAGUCUUCAAAAUUAAGGUUGAAAUUUAAGAUUCAGUUUAAGUUGCUUUCUAGAAAAUCCUUUAAUAAUACAUCCCCUUUAAGAUUGAAAACUAAAUUAUCCAUCUAAGAUUGAAAAAUAAAUUAUCCCUUUUUCUUCCUCUUCCUUCCCCUCCCUGAACAAUUCAUUUCUAACGCCACGAGGUGAACCAAAACAUGAUAGGUAUGCCACCCUAUGGAGGAGUCGCCCGGCACAGGACUCAGAGCCUGAGUGGGAGAGGGAGGCAUUCCCUCACAGAGGUGGCUGUCAUGCAGUGGCAGAGCUUGACCAGAGUGAAAAGAGAAGGGGGCAGGUGCAGUGCAUUCUAGGAAGUUUAAGUUCAAGUGGGGUGAGAAGGCAGAACAUACAGAGGGGCAGCCUUGCAUGGGGUCCUAACAGGUUAAGAAGAAUAUCCAUAUGGUGGGUGUAACCUAGAAUGGAGAGUUAGAGCCUGCACAGAGAAAAAGGGGAGCUUUCACACAGGGGAAGAAGUAGUAGUAGAAAUGGGAGAUUAAUUACAGAGGUGUAGAAAUAUUGAUCAAAUAAGUAAAUAUAUUAAGGAUAGUGGAAGUCAAAUUUUUCACUUUCAGAAAAGAGAGUUAACGUAUAUGGAAAAGAAUUAAACUAAAAUGAUUCCUGUGGUACUGAACUGAAAUUGAAAGUAUCAGCGUGAAUGCCAGGCUUUCAAAAUAUACAUAUAGAAAUAAAUGUAGAGAUUUUUGCAUGUGUAACAUAUAUACAUAACACAUACAUAUAUAUACCCUAGCUACCCUAUUGACUGAGAAAGCCUGAGGACAGUGACACCUAAAUAGUAUUGAGUACGUCUGGUGCUCAUAAUUUGGCUUCAAAAUACCAUUCUCCAUUCAAAAAACCAGGAUUCCUUGGAGAAAUGACCGAUUCCAGGACCGGAUUAGGGAAAGUGCAAGAAGACCCUCAAGCAUCUAACUGUAUCAGAAAGCAAGGAAAUUUUAAAAGAAUGAUGGGAAUCUGUCAAAUGAACACAGUAGCCAGCUUGCAAGUGUUACAAGUCUGGACAAUUUGAACAUCACGGCAAAUAAUGAUAGUAAUGGAUUAUAACCAGUUAAAUAAAAUAAGAAACCAUGAGCCCACACUUAAAUUGAUAGAUGAAAGAAUAAAGGGAGGGAAGAAGGAAGGACAUGUAGGUAGGUAGGCAAAUAAUUUGGUAGUUGGGUAUGGAUGGAAAUCUUGUUGUGGAACAGAAUAUAUAGUUUCAGAAUACCUCAACCCAGCAUACGUACCUUACUCAGUUGAUCAAAGUGAAUAUCAUCAGUAAUUGAACACACUGAAAUCAUGCAUUACCUGAUAGAAUGCAGUGAGAAGAAUCUUGCAUCACUUCCUGCCAAAGAUCCAUAACCUGAGUCUAAUCCUGAAAAAACAUCAAGCAAAUUCAGUUUGAAGGACAUUCUUCAAAAUAACUGUCCUACAAUCUUCAAAAGUCAAGAUCGUGAAAAUAAAAGAAAGUCUGGGGAACUGUUCUAUACCAAGAAGACUAAAGAGGCAUAACUAAAUGCAGCUUGUAAUUUUGAACUAGAUCCUUUUACUAAGAAGGACGUUACACCCAUUCCUCACUUAUCAACAUGGCUAGGUUCCAGAGACCAAGUUAUUAUGCAAAAAUCAUCGUUAUGUGAGCGUCAGGGCCAUCUUCAGCACUUGUGUCCCCUCCUCCCCUCUCACCGGCUGUCACCCCUCCUCCACACUUCUUGGGAUGUGCAUGGCAUGCCUGGCCCCUCUUCCCCACCACACCUUCCCUACCAACACAGAGCCUCCAGGGGUGGGCAGGGAUUGGGGGUGGUGGCAGUGAUGGUCAAAGAUUGCCUGUCACCUCCAGAGCAGCAGGGGCCCACCAUCACCUGGCCGUGCUCCAGGCCUCUGCACAGACCCCUGUCCCUUUCCUCUCCACCUUCCUGCUCCACCAGCCCCAGACAUAGGCCUCAGUAGUGGGCAGCUCCUGGGCCUGCAGGCAGGUGAGGCCUGGCCACCUGGUCCCUGCAGAGGCUGCAAAGGUGGCAAAGAGGCCUCUUUGGAAGAAGAGACUUCCCAGUUCCACUCCCCACCCCAUUCCUGAUCCAGGUAAUACAAACUGCUGGUGGCCUGCACAGCCUCCACCCUCUCACAAACCUUGCCCUCCUUCUCUUCUUCCUCUGACCUAAGCUCCUGGUUAAUGCACAAAAUAGUGGGAUAGUAGAUUUUUUUACUGUUGUCAUAAUUGCAAAAUGUCAAAUAAUGAGAUAGUCGGUAAGUGAGGAGUAGGUAUAUUAGGAUAAUUGGCAGAACAGAACCUGAGAAUUAGAUGAAUGUAUCAGUGUUAAUUUUCUGAUUUUGCUGAUUGCAUUUUGGUUAUGUAAGAGAAUGUCCUUGUGUGUAAAAAAUACCCACCAAAGCAGCACUGUCCAGUACAGAAACCACUAGCCACAUGUCCGCAUAUAGAACACUUUAGGAAGUUCUGUUGGAAAGUAUUCCAAGGUGAUGGAACCUCAGAUUAGUGACUUAUUCCCAAAUGAUUCAGGGGAAAAAAUGUUUUUAAACCAUACUUGCAAUUCUUCUGUAAGAGUUUAUUUCAAAUGUUUUAAAAUAUUUAAAAAUGAAGUUCAAAGAAUGUAGUGGCUCAUGGUCUACGUUUUUUGCAAAUAAGAAAAUCAUCAUUGAAAUAUAAAAGUAGUAAUAGAAUACACACACCAAACACUCAUCAAAAGAAAUCUGGAGUGGCUAUAUGAAUAUCAGGCAAAAUAGACAUCAAGACAAAGAAUAUUAUCAUAGGUAAAGAGGAAUAUUUCACAUUUGUUAAAAAAAAAAAAGGUCAAUACAUCAUGAAGUCAUAACAACAGAGCUUCAAAGUGCAUGAAGCAAAAACUUGCAGAACUAAAAGAAAAUACUGACAAAUCCACAAUCAUAAUUAGCAGUUUUAACAUCCUUCUUUCAGUAACUGAUAAAAAAAAAAAAAAACUAGACAAAAAAUCAUUAAGGAUAGAGACUAUCUGAAUGACACUAUUAACUACCUUGAUCUAAAUGGCAUUUAUAUAACAUAUCCAACAACUACAGAAUACAUAUUGUUUUCAAGUGCGUGUGAAAAUGUUCACUAAGACUUUAAAACAAGUCUCAGUAAAUUUCAAAAAAAUUGAAAUCUUAAUAUGUUUUCGUACCACAACAUAAUUAAAUCAGAACUGAAAAAUAAAAUAUCUACAAAAGCCUAAAAUGCUUGGAAAUUAAAAUAAUACUUUUUUUAAGUAACUUACAAAGAGACUUCUCUAAUGUGCCACUUUGGAACACUUUCUCAAAAUGCCUAACAUCGGGUUACCAAGUAACCCAACAAGUCCACUCCUAGUUAUAUACUCAAGAGAAAUGAAAACAUAUAUUCAUAUAAAAACUUAUACAUGAACGUUCAUGUCAUUUUCCAUAAUAGCCAAAAAAGUAGAAACAACCCAAAUGUCCAUCAUCAUCUGAUGAUAAAUAAAACGUGGUGUAUCCAUCUAAUGGAAUAUUACUGAGCAAUAAAAAGGAAAGUGAUAUUGAUACAUGCUACAUCAGUGAACCUUGAGAACAUUAUGCUAUGUGAAAGAAGGCAGUCACAAAAGACUACGUGUUAUAUGAUUCCAUUUAUAUGAAAUGUCUAGAAUAUGCAAAUUAUUACCAACAAAGUGAAGAAACAACCUAGAGAAUGGGAAGAAAUUUUGGGGAACCAUAUAUCAGAUAAGGGUUUAAUAUCCAGAAUAUAUAAAUAACUCUUACAAUUUAGCUACAAAAAAAAAAAAAAAAAUCCAAUUAAAAAAUGGGCAAAGGCCUUGAAUACACAUUUUACCAAAGAAAAUGGAUGAAGCAUGAAAAGAUGAUCAGUGACAUUAGCCAUUGUUGUUGUAGCUGCUGUGGAGUUGACUCUGACUCAUGGCAACCCUAUGUACAAGAGAACAAAAUGUUGCCCAGCCCUGCAUCAUCCUCACAAUCACCAGCAUGUUCGAGUCCAUUAUUAUGACUAUCGUGCCAAUCCAGCUGACUGGAGAGUCUCCCAUGCUGUUGUUGGUCCUCUACUUCACCAAAUUUGGUAUCCUCUUCUAGUGAUUUACUCCUCCUAAUGGCAUGUCCAAAACAAGCAAGUCAGACAAUGUUCUGUUGUCAUAAGCUUUUCACUGGUUAAUUUUCAGAAGUAGAUUGCUAGACCUUUUUUCCUAGUCUGUCUUAGUCUGGAAGCUCUGCAGAGACCUGUCCACCACAGAUGACCCUGCUUGUAUUUGAAAUACUGGUGGCAUAGCUUCCAGCAUCAUAGAAACACAGAAGCCACUGCAGUACAACAAACUGACAGAUGGGUGGUGGCAUUAGUCAUCGUUGCUAGUUGCUGUUGAGUCUAUUCCAAUUCAUGGCACCUCGUGUGUUAAACAGAGUAGAACUGCUUAGUAGGGUUUUCUUGGUUGUAAUCUUAAUGGAAACAAAUGGCUAGACCUAUCUUUUGCAGUUCCACUGGGUAGGUUCAAACCACCAACCUUUAGGGUGAGCACAAACCAAACAGCAUUUGUCGUUGUUGUUGUUAGGUGCCAUUGAGUCAAUUCCAACUCAUAGCAACCCUGUAUACAACAGAAACGAAACACUGCCGGGUCCUGCACCAUCCUCACAAUCGUUGUUAUGCAUCACCCCAUUGUUGCAGCUACUGUGUCAAUCCAUCUCCUUGAAGGUCUUCUUCUUUUUCACUGACCCUCUACUUUACAAGCAUGAUGUCCUUCUCCAGGGACUGACACCUUCUGAUAAUAUGUCCAAGGUACAUGAGACUCCUUGCUUCUAAGGAGCAUUCUGGCUGUACUUCUUCCAGUACAGAUUAGUUCAUUCUGGCAAUCCACGGUGUAUUCAGUAUUCUUAGCUUGAUUCCAUCCACAUCAUUAUGGUUGACUCUACUUUGAAGGGGCAGCUCUCUCCCAAUCGUAUUUUGAGCACCUUCCAACCUCCAACCUGAGUGGCUCAUCUUCUGGCAUUAUGUCAACAAUGUUUCACUAUUCAUAAGGUUUUUAGUAGCUGACCUUUUCACAAGUAGACUGUCUUAGUCUGGAAGCUCAGCUGAAGCCUGUCCACUAAGGGUGACCCUGCUGGUAUUUGAAAUAUUGGUGGCAAAGCUUCCAGUAUCACAGCAACACACAAUCCACCACAGUAAGACAAACUGAAAGGCAUUAGUCAUUAAAAAAAAAAAAAAAAAUUUUUUAAGAGAUAUGUAAAUCAAAACCACAAUGAGAUACUACUUCACAUGCGCUAAGAUGUCCAUUCAGAAAAAUGGAACACAGCAGGUGGUGACAAGGAUGUGUUGGUGGGAUUUAAAAUGGUGCAGUUGCAGUGGAAAAGUUUGGUGGUUCCUCAAAAAGUUUAACACAGAAUUACUGUAUGACACAGCAAUUUCACUCCUAGGUAUAUAGCCAAAAGAAUUGAAAGCAGGAAUGCAAACAAACCUGUACAACAUUGUUCAUUCCAACACUAUUCCUAGUAGUUAAAAUGUGGAAACAAUCUAAAUGUCCAUCAGCAGGCGAAUGGAUAAACAAGAUGUGGUGCACACAUACAAUAGAAUAUUAUUCAGUCAUAAAAGAGAAACGAAGUCCUCAUACACACCACAACAUGGAUGAACCUUGAAGAAAUGAUAAGUGAAAUAAGUCAAUCACAGAAGAAUAAAUAUUGUAUGACCUCACUUACAUGAAAUAACUAGAGUAGACUAAUGUAUAGACACCAGAGUGUAUUAGCGGUUACCAGAGGUUGUGAGAAGGGGGAAUCAUUGGUUAGGGAGCACUUGACUGUUAAUGGUGGUGGAAAAAUUUGGAAAUGGAUAGUGGUGAUGGUUGUACAAGAUGAUGAAUGUAACCAUUUUCACAGAAUUAUACAUGUAAAAAAUGUUGAAAUGACAACUAUUUUGUUAUGUAUGUUUUUCCACAAUAUUUUUUAAAAACUCACAAAUAUCCAAGCCCAGAUGGUUUCACUGCCAAAAUCUGCCGAUCAUUUAAACUUUCAGAAAGUACGUGAAAAGGGAACACAACUCUCUUGUUAUAUGAUACCAGUUAACCCUAAUAAUUAAAACUAGGCAAAGACCUAACAAGAAAAGUACAUUAUAGACCAGAGUUCCUUGUGAACAAAGACAUGAAAUACUUAACAAGAUAGAGCAAAUCAAAUGAAGCACUAUAUAAAAUAAUACAUCAUGAUCAAGUGAGAUUUACCUAAUGAAGACAAAUUAGUUUAAUAGUUUAAAAAAACAGUGCAAUCCAUCGUAUUAAGAGAAUAAAGAACAAAAUACUUUUGUGAUAAAAUUCAGCAAAGUAGGAAUACAACAGAACUUUCUCAAUCUGAUAUAAGGCAUUUACAAAAAUAUUGAAAAUAGCUACAUGCUAAAAGGUGAAAUGCAUGUUUUUCUCUUUGAGAUUGGGAAGAAGGCAAGAAUGCCCAUUCCCACUUCUGUUCAACAUGUUACUGGAGGCCUUAGAGAUAACAGUAAUUCAAGAAAAAUAAAUAAAUGAAAGGUUCAGCCAUUUCAGAGAAAGAAGUAAAUCUAACCUUAUUCACAGCAUGGUUGUAUGUAGAGAAUCUAAGGAGCCAACAACAACAACAAAAUACUAGAACUGUAAGUGAAUUUAGCAAUGUCUCUGGAUAAAAGAUCGUAUGUAAAAAUCGAUUAUAUUUUCAUAAACUAGCAGCAAACAGUUGGAAAAUAAAAUUAAGCUCAGUUCUACUUAGAAUGGUAUCAAGUAACAUAAAAUAAUUACAAAUACAUUUAACAAAAUAUGCACUGAAAGCUUCAAACAUUGCUGGUAGAAACGCAAGGAGGCCUAAAUAAAUGUAUGCCAUGUUAAUGGAAUAGAAGAUUUAAUAGCAUUAAGAUGUCACAUCUUCCCAAAUUGAUUCAAAGAUUCAACUUUCUUAAGCAAAAUUUCUACAAACUUUUUUUUUUCGUAGAAAGACAAGCUGAUUUUAAAGCGUAUAUGUAAAAGCUGGGGGCCUAGAACACCCAAAUAAAUCUUAAGAACCAAGGACAAAGCAGGAGACUGUUCACUACCUGACUUCAAAAUUUACUACAAAAGUACAGUAAUGAUAACUCUGUAAUACUGGCACAAGGAUAAACUACUAGAUCGAUCCAUGAGGAUAAAGAGUCCACACUCAGUUGGUUUUCGAUAAAGGCACCAACUCUGUUAAUGGAGGAAGAAAAAUCUUUCAAUACAUGACACUAGAACAACUGGAGAAAUACAUGGGGGAAAAAUUCAUCAUAACCCGUACCUUCCUCAAGUGUCUGUCAGUUUGUCAUACUGUAGGGGCUUGCGUGUUGCUGUGAUGCUGGAAGCUAUGCCACCGGUAUUCAGAUACAAGCAGAGUCACCUGUGGUGGACAGGUUUCAGCUGAGCUUCCAGACUAAGACACAGUAGGAAGAAAGACCCGGCAGUCUACUUCUGAAAGGAAUUAGCCAGUGAAGAACCUUAUGAGUAGCAGCAGAACAUUGUCUACUGUAGUGCCAGAAGAUGAGCCCCACAGGUUGGAAGGCACUCAAAAGAUGACUGGGGAAGAGCUGCCUCUUCAAAGUAGAGUCAACCUUAAUGACAUGGGUGGAGUAAAGUUUUCAGGACCUUCAUUUGCUGACGUGGCACAGAUCAAAAUGAGAAGAAACAGCUGCGAACAUCCACAAAUGUUAAAUCAGAAUGUGGAAUGUACGAAGUAUGAAUCUAGGAAAAUUGGAAAUCAUCAAAAAUGAAAUGGAACACAUAAAAAUCGGUAUCCUAGGCAUUAGUGAGCUGAAAUGGACUGCUAUUGGCCAUUUUGAAUGGGACACUCGUAUGGUCUACUCUAACGGGAAUGACAACUAGAAGAGGAAUAGCAUUGCAUUCAAAAAGAACAUCUCAAGAUCCAUCUUGAAGUACAGCACUGUCAGUGAUAUGGUAAUGUCCAUACACCUGCAAGGAAGACCAGUUAAUAUGACUAUUAUUCAAAUUUGUGCACCAACCUCUACAGCCAAAGAUGAAGAAAUUGAAGAUUUUUACCAACUUCUGCAGUCUGAAAUUGAUCGAACCUGCAAUCAGGAUGCAUUGAUAAUUACUUCUGAUUGGAAUGUGAAAUUUGGAAACAAAGAAGAAAAACUGGUAUUUGGAAAAUAUGGUUUUCAUGACAGAAAUGAUUUCGGAGAUCACAUGGUAGAAUUUUCCAAGACCAACGACUUCUUCAUUGCAAAUACCUUUUUUCACCAACCUAAAUCAGCGACUAUACACAUGAACCUCUCCAGAGAGGCGGGGCCAAGAUGGCAGAAUAGACAGAUGCUUCUGGCGAACGCUCUUACAACAAAGUCCCGGAAAAACAAGUGAAAUGAGUAUAUUUAUGACAAACUGGGAGCCCUGGACAUCAAAGGCAAAGUUAGAAAGUGAACUGUGCAGUGGGGGAGGAAGAGAUGGUUCAGAAGCGGAGAAGAGUUACCGGACCUGAAUCACUGGGUUCCCUCAGGCACCAUUCCCGGGAACACCUGCAGCAGACUGAUACUAGUGUUCGGCCACAGUUUCGUCAGGGAGAAACAGCCACUCACACAGCAUACUUACACCUCCAGAACCAGAGAAGAACGACGCUGUCAGCAAAAACUAAGUACUUGCAUAUAUUUUACCAUGCCCCCACCCCCAAGCCAGCUUUGGUGGCUGUUGAUAUCCCUGAGCCUGAGAUAGGCCCUGUUGAGCACCUAGAGCCAUCCUCCCUGCCUUGGAGAAGGAAUAAAUCCACAAUUGGGGAAAAGAUAAUUUGCCAGCUCCACUAACUGGGGGAGCUCAGGACAGAAGCGGCUCCUGUCCAGGCAUAAAUGGUCUGUGGACUUUGAAUACCUUUUCCCCCUGCAUAGACCUGUGUGGGCCUAUUGCAGGAGAAUAGGCCCCUGUUGACAGACUACAACUGUUUCAGCUGUGCAGUGGAGAGGUGGGUGUUUGAUGUGCCACACCGCCUUGCCUGUCAAACAGGGUCCUCACCUACCCACAUCAGGGGCCUAAGGACUGGUGGCUCCACUCAGGUCACCCAGCCACCCGUGACAGGCGUCCAAGUAUAACUGGUACCUCCCAGUCCUUUCAACCAAAAACAUUGUGUGCCCAUGGUCUGUCUGCAGAACCCACCCACCUGUAUGCUCUAGGGAAGCGGGACAUGCUUUCCUCAGAGACGCUUCAGGGAAUAUUCUCAGCCUCUGCCUUGUUCAGAGCGUGACCCCCCUGCUGCAACCAGAUACCAGUACCUACACCAAUCACCCCUACCCCUCUAAGACAGAGUCUGUACCACAGACUUGAUAAGCAGCUACCUGGACACCUGAGCUGAAUUCAUACAAAAAAAAAACGAAUGGACUCCUAGACUGAUACACCUGAUAACAGCUCUAGCCAUCUGGGGACAGGACAUCAGAGUUCCAAAGGCAAAAAUAAUCAAGCUAGCUCACACAAGCAACCCAUUUGGGCAUAUCAAAACAAAACAAAGCAAGAAGCUAGGAUACAGUAAGCAAACCUAAAAUAAACUAAUACAAUCACUUGUAGAUGGCACGGAGACAACAGUCAGUAUCAAGUCACAUAAAGAAACAGACCAUCAUUGCCUCAACAAGCUCUCAAAACGAAGAAUCAAGGGAUCUUCCAGAUGAAAGUGCAUUCCUGGAAUUACCGGAUGCAGAAUAUAAAAGAUUAAUAUACAGAACCCUUCAACACAUCAGGAAGGAAAUCAGGCAAUACUCAGAACAAGCCAAGGAACAUAUAGAUAAAGCAGUUGAAAAAAUUAAAAAGGUUAUUCAGGAGCAUAGUGAAAAAUUUAAUAAGCUGGAAAAAUCCAUAGACAGACCCACCCUUUGCUGUCUAGUCGAUUCCAACUCAUAGCAACCCUACAGGACAAAGUAGAACUGCACCAUAGAGUUUCCAUGGACAGCCUGGCGGAUUCAAACUGCCAACCUCUUGGUUAGCAGCCGUAGCACUUAACUACUACGCCACCAGGGUUUCCCAUAGACAGACAGCAAUCAGAAAUUCAGAAGAUUAACAAUAAAAUUACAGAAGUAGACAACUCAAUAGAAAGAGGAGCAGAAUUGAGCAAGUGGAAGGCAGAUUUCAUGAACCUGAAGAUAAAGCACUUGUCACCAAUAUAUUUGAAGAAAAAUCCGAUUAAAAAAGUUUUUUUUAAAUGAAGAAACCUUAAGAAUCAUGUGGGACUCUAUCAAGAGAAAUAACUUACGAGUGAUUGGAGUACCAGAACAGGGAAGGACAACAGAAAAUGCAGAAAGAACUCUUGAAGAUUUUUUUGGCAGAGGACUCCCCUGAUAUCGUGAAAGAUGAGAAGAUAUCUAUCCAGUGCUCAUCAAACUCCACAUAAGGUAGAUUUUAAAAGAAAGUCACCAAGACAUAUUAUAAUCAAACUUAGCAAAACCAAAGAUAAUUCUAAGAGCAGCUAGGGAUAAAUGAAAAGUCACCUACAAAGGAGAGUAAAUAAGAAUAAGCUUGGACUACUCGGCAGAAACCAUGCAGGCAAGAAGGCAAUGGGAUGACUUAUAUAAAGCCUUGAAGGAAAAAAUUGCCAGCCAAGAAUCAUGUAUCUACAAAACUGUCUUUUAAAUAUGAAGGUGAAAUUAGGACAUUUCCAGAUUAACAGAAGUUUAGGGAAUUCAUAAAAACCAAACCAAAACUACAAGAAAUUCUAAAGGGAGUUCUUUGUUUAGAAAAUCAAUAAUAUCAGGUAUCAACCCAAGACUAGAACACUAGAGAGCAAUCAGAUGUCAACCCAGAUAUGGAGAUCACAAAAAUAAACCAAGAUUAAAAUAAAAAAAAAAAAAAACGCUCAAAACAGGGUAA